rnacentral:rRNA from 1 species
UACGGGGGGGGCAAGCGUUGUUCGGAAUUACUGGGCGUAAAGGGCUUGUAGGCGGCCAACUAAGUCAUACGUGAAAUCCCUCGGCUUAACCGGGGAACUGCGUCUGAUACUGGAUGGCUUGAGAUUGGGAGAGGGAUGCGGAAUUCCAGGUGUAGCGGUGAAAUGCGUAGAUAUCUGGAGGAACACCGGUGGCGAAGGCGGCAUCCUGGACCAACACUGACACUGAGGAGCGAAAGCCAGGGGAGCAAACGGG